GGAGUUGUAGCUCAGCGGUAGAGCGCUUGCCUAGCACGGGCAAGGCACUAGGUUCGAUUCUCAACACCA
rnacentral:tRNA from 1 species